GAUGAACGCUGGCGGCGUGCCUAACACAUGCAAGUCGAACGGAGAUUACGGACGGAAGUUUUCGGAUGGAAGACUGUAAUUCUUAGUGGCGGACGGGUGAGUAACGCGUGGGCAACCUGCCCUAUACAGGGGGAUAGCAGCUGGAAACGGCUGGUAAGACCGCAUAAGUCGGCGAGACCGCAUGGUUUUGCCGGGAAAUGAGCAAUCAGGUAUAGGAUGGGCCCGCGUCCGAUUAGCCAGUUGGCAGGGUAAAAGCCUACCAAAGCAACGAUCGGUAGCCGGACUGAGAGGUCGGACGGCCACAUUGGGACUUAGACACGGCCCAAACUCCUACGGGAAGCAGCAGUGGGGGAUAUUGCACAAUGGAGGAAACUCUGAUGCAGCGACGCCGCGUGAGUGAAGAAGUAUUUCGGUAUGUAAAGCUCUAUCAGCAGGGAAGAUGAUGACGGUACCUGACUAAGAAGCCCCGGCUAACUACGUG
rnacentral:rRNA from 1 species